rnacentral:lncRNA from 1 species
CACACACCCGCGGCACACACAAGCACACAUGUACGCAUGCAUAUGACUCAAGAAAAGAGGUUUCUCGAUCCUCGUCCCCUACAGCCAGGGCUAAGUUUUGAUGAGUAGUCUGCAGACGUGAUACUAGUGUGCUUCCUUUAAAUGGUCUUAAACCCUCUUAGAUCCGUUUGAAAGGAAUCCAAGUGGCAGUAGAGGCGACAAGCAGCCCGAUGCCUGCCAACCCGUCGGCACACGAGUAUGCCAAGGACCUGCCACGCUCUAGAAGUCAGCUGCGGUAUGGAGAUGGAGAUGAAGGACUCUCCGCCUAAAGAGCGCUAGGAGUCAGCUGGCGGUCUGAACACUAACUUUGCGAAACAAGAGGAGCUAAAACCAGCCCUUGCUCGCAGGAGAGAAUAGAGGCGAGAAAACACGGUAAAAGCCUGACCUCACAGUCAGACUUGCCCGGUGCUUGGAAUGGAAAAAAAAAAAAACUAGGGGUG